rnacentral:rRNA from 1 species
GACGAACGCUGGCGGCGUGCCUAAUACAUGCAAGUCGAGCGGACUUUCAAGAAGCUUGCUUUUUGAAAGUUAGCGGCGGACGGGUGAAUAACACGUGGGCAACCUGCCUGUAAGACGGGGAUAACUCCGGGAAACCGGGGCUAAUACCGGAUAAUAUCUUUCUUCGCAUGAAGGAAGGUUGAAAGACGGCGCAAGCUGCCGCUUGCAGAUGGGCCCGCGGCGCAUUAGCUGGUUGGUGAGGUAACGGCUCACCAAGGCGACGAUGCGUAGCCGACCUGAGAGGGUGAUCGGCCACACUGGGACUGAGACACGGCCCAGACUCCUACGGGAGGCAGCAGUAGGGAAUCUUCCGCAAUGGACGAAAGUCUGACGGAGCAACGCCGCGUGAGCGAAGAAGGUCUUCGGAUCGUAAAGCUCUGUUGUCAGGGAAGAACAAGUACCGUUCGAAUAGGGCGGUACCUUGACGGUACCUGACCAGAAAGCCACGGCUAACUACGUGCCAGCCGCCGCCGUAA